GACGAACGCUGGCGGCGUGCCUAAUACAUGCAAGUAGAACGCACAGUUUAUACCGUAGCUUGCUACACCAUAGACUGUGAGUUGCGAACGGGUGAGUAACGCGUAGGUAACCUGCCUGGUAGCGGGGGAUAACUAUUGGAAACGAUAGCUAAUACCGCAUAAUAUUAAUUAUUGCAUGAUAAUUAAUUGAAAGGUGCAAUUGCACCACUACCAGAUGGACCUGCGUUGUAUUAGCUAGUAGGUGAGGUAACGGCUCACCUAGGCGACGAUACAUAGCCGACCUGAGAGGGUGAUCGGCCACACUGGGACUGAGACACGGCCCAGACUCCUACGGGAGGCAGCAGUAGGGAAUCUUCGGCAAUGGACGAAAGUCUGACCGAGCAACGCCGCGUGAGUGAAGAAGGUUUUCGGAUCGUAAAGCUCUGUUGUAAGAGAAGAACAGGUGUGAGAGUGGAAAGUUCACACUGUGACGGUAUCUUACCAGAAAGGGACGGCUAACUACGUG
rnacentral:rRNA from 1 species